GGUUGAGCAUGCUGGCUCAUCAGAUCAAGCUCCAACCAAGUACAAGUCCUCCAUGAAUAAGGUUGACAAAGAAUCAACUUUGACUGAGGGUGUCGAGGUUGAGCAUGAUGGCUCAUCAGCUCAAGCUCCAACCAAGAUCAAGUCCUCCAAGAAAAAAGUUGACACAUUAUCGACUUUGACUGAGGGUGUCAAGGUUGAACAUGUUGGCUCAUCA